AAGUCGUAACAAGGUUUCCGUAGGUGAACCUGCGGAAGGAUCAUUACCGAGAGUGGGACUUCGCGUCCCCCGGGGCUCCGGCCCCGACUCUUCACCCUGUGCGUACCCACCGUUGUUGCUUCGGCGCUGUCCCCGUCGCCUGCCCCGGGGCUCGUACCCGGGUGCGGCGUGGGUGACCCCGCCGGAGGCCCCCCGAAACCCCGUCAUCAGUGUGGUCUGAGGAGAAAUCCAAUCAACUAAAACUUUCAACAACGGAUCUCUUGGUUCUG
rnacentral:misc_RNA from 1 species